GGAUGCCCAGUUAAAUUUGAAUUUGAGAUACACAGCAAAUUGUAUUUUAGUAUAAUUAUUUCCCAUGCAAUAUUUGGGACAAACUUAUACUAAAAAAUCAUUUGUUGUGAAAUUCAAAUGUAACUGG
rnacentral:miRNA from 1 species